rnacentral:lncRNA from 1 species
GAAAUAAUUCCAAAGAGGCUGCUCCACAGGACAUAUACCAGCAACCUACCCAUUACUUCAAUCAUGACCAGCUAGAGCUACAGAAGAAAAAUACUCGUGAAAAAAUAGAGGAGCUCUUGGAAAAAUCACAACUACUGGCAAACACACAACCUAUGCAUCCUUGCUUCUUUUCACCUAUCAAAAAGGUUGGGGAGGAACAACCACAGAGACAACUUACAACUAACCUGGAUGAGAGUAUUGAUCAAGGAAGCACAGAUGAAAAUUUAAGCUAUUGGGAAAUGAGAUCACCCCCUNCAGCGAAGCUGUAUAGCACAAGCAAUCAGGAAUCCAACUUGGCUAGUCUUCAUGAAUGGAAAGAAAAAGAUUAUCCUUCUGAUCACCGUUUUUUUGAAGAAAUGGGAAAUUCUGCAAAAGAUCAGGAUAUUAUUAUACAUCCUAGACUGAAAAUACAGUUGUCAAGUAAAGAAGUUUGUUCUUGUUCUUCCAGCAGAAAUAAAAAAAUACAGUAUGAAAAAACAACCAGAGGAAAAUCAAAGUGUGAAAGAUUCUCAAUCUUCUUAGAUGGAAAAGCAGCAGAUUUAGAUUCAUCAGGUAGUGAUACAGAAGACCCUUUAUUCUGUGACACCCUAGAAGAUUCAAGAUGUGAAGCAAGUCUGGAACACAGCAUUAAAAGUCAUGGAUCGUGCAAAGUGCAUCCAAAAGAGCACCAUAAAGCUUCUUUGCAAAAGAAAAGCAUUGCCCUCCAAAGGAUUUAUAAAAAAUCUCAACCAGAACUGUUUAUUGACAGACUGUGCGACAGACAAAAUCUACAAGUUCCCCAAACUCGCUACUCAAGGAUGUAUGAUACCAUUAUCCUUUCACCACAGUAUCUUGGGAGUGGGAAAUCUUUUGCAAGGAGGUCAUUGAUUAAUUCAAGAGGAAGGCACAAUGAAGACACAAAUUCAGCGGUAUUCAAUAAAAUGUUCCACAAAUUAAUAGAAACUUACAGAUCUCAGACUGAAGAAUUUUUGCAUAAAAUGAAAUAACCAAAAGUAAGCAUUUUUCUUACCAAUAUGACUAUGUCAAUUUUAUUUCUUUCCAGACACUAGAUUCCACAUUGGAUCAUGUUGUACAGGCUGCAAAUGACUUGAAGAAAACUACAGAGCACAUGAUGCAAGCUGUUUCAGAAGAUUUAGCCAGGGCUAAAAUUCAGACCCUUUCUAGUCUAGCAGCUAGCCAAUAUAAGUCUGAAUGUCUCUUAUGGAAACCACACUAUAUGUGAGAGACCAGACAAUAUAUAAAGAACAGAAGUGUAUAAUUUCUCAUAAAAAUUAGAUUUACUACAUGAAAAAUUAGAGAGUUAUCUAUGCCUUUUGGUGUUGCUGUAGCAAAGUUUUCUAGAAACUAACUGCUUUUAAUUAGCCUGGGUAUUAUUUUAAUUAGCCUGUUUUGUUCACAAAUUGACUAUAACCUCUG